rnacentral:rRNA from 1 species
UACGUAGGUGGCGAGCGUUGUCCGGAUUUAUUGGGUUUAAAGGGUGCGUAGGCGGCUUUGUAAGUCAGUGGUGAAAUACUCCAGCUUAACUGGAGGGGUGCCAUUGAUACUGCGGAGCUUGAGUACAGAUGAGGUAGGCGGAAUUGACGGUGUAGCGGUGAAAUGCAUAGAUAUCGUCAAGAACACCGAUAGCGAAGGCAGCUUACUGGGCUGUAACUGACGCUGAUGCACGAAAGUGUGGGGAUCAAACAGGAUUAGACACUACCCAG